GAUGAACGCUGGCGGCGUGCCUAAUACAUGCAAGUCGAGCGAACGGACGAGAAGCUUGCUUCUCUGAUGUUAGCGGCGGACGGGUGAGUAACGCGUGGAUAACCUACCUAUAAGACUGGGAUAACUUCGGGAAACCAGUGCUAAUACCGGAUAAUAUUUUGAACCGCAUGGUUCAAGAGUGAAAGACGCUCUUGCUGUCACUUAUAGAUGACUCCGCGCUGCAUUACUUAGUUGGUAAGGUAACGGCUUACCAAGGCAACGAUGCAUAGCCGACCUGAGAGGGUGAUCGGCCACACUGGAACUGAGACACGGUCCAGACUCCUACGGGAGGCAGCAGUAGGGAAUCUUGCGCAAUGGGCGAAAGCCUGACGGAGCAACGCCGCGUGAGUGAUGAAGGUCUUCGGAUCGUAAAACUCUGUUAUUAGGGAAGAACAUAUGUGGAAGUAACUGUGCACAUCGUGACGGUACCUAAUCAGAAAGCCACGGCUAACUACGUG
rnacentral:rRNA from 1 species